UACGUAGGGGGCAAGCGUUGUCCGGAUUUAUUGGGCGUAAAGAGCGUGUAGGCGGCCAGGUAGGUCAGCUGUGAAAACUCGAGGCUCAACCUCGAGACGCCGGUUGAAACCAUCUGGCUAGAGUCCGGAAGAGGAGAGUGGAAUUCCCGGUGUAGCGGUGAAAUGCGCAGAUAUCGGGAAGAACACCCGUGGCGAAGGCGGUUCUCUGGGACGGUACUGACGCUGAGACGCGAAAGCGUGGGGGAGCGAACAGG
rnacentral:rRNA from 1 species